UAUAUAUAUAUAUAUAUAUAUAUAUAUAUAUCUUUGAUGUAAUUAAAUCAACAUUGCUACAAUAAUUGAUGAAGAUUCUUAAAUAUCUAAAAAUUCAAAAGAAAUAAUCAAACCCACAAAGACUUUGUUAUAAGAAGUAUCGAUAUCGAUGAAUUAAUAAUCCUUCUUCUUUAUACGAUACCAAUAACAUCUUUUUCUUAUUUCUCGUUAUAAAGAACAAUGGGAACAAACGAAAAAAAAAAGAAAUAUAUCUAGUGAUAAUAAGAAGAACGAUCGCGAACAAUAUAUUACUGCUUGAGGAAGUUUGAAAAUCCAAUAACUCUCGAUAGGACAAUAAUUUCCCGUAAGAAACAAGAGAAUUCUCACAUGAUUCGAGAAUUCACUCGGUGGGUAAUACGAUCGAAAGGAUUCUAAUUAGAUUAAACUCUCGCUAAAACUAUAAUUAUGCUCGAAUACGUAUCGUGAAUUUCGAAGAGAGAGAAAGAGAAAGAUAGAAAGACAGACAGACAGACAGAGAGAGAGAGAGAGAGAGAGAGAGAGAGAGAGAGAGAGAGAGAGAGAGAGAGAAAGAGAGAAUCAGAGCAACUAAUAGAGGCAAGAGAAGAAACUUAGCAAAUUGAAAGGCUGUGUACAACUUGCAUGAAUCGAUUCUUCCUUCGUUUAAAGAUAAAGAUAGUUCGUCGAUGUUUGUUUUUAAAGGAUCUAUCUAAAAAUUGAAAAAUGAAUAUCUAGAAAAAAAAAUGUAUAAAAUAAUAACAAUUGUAUAUGAAUAAUCGAUCGAUAGAAGAAAGAAGAAAAAGAGGAUAAAAAAAGGAAGAAAGAGAGAAAGAACAAGCGAUUCGUUCGAUACACGAGAAAACUAUAUACUCCAGAUAACUCUUGUCCUUCGAUCGAAUUUAAUUAAAGUGAGUGGGACCGAAUGAAAAACGUCUUAUCGGUGAUAUAACACGGUCCAUCAACAUCAACGAUACCUUUCUCUCACGAUCGGUUGUUUCGUUUUCGAGAAUGCACUUGUUCCAUUGUCUCUUUAUAUUUCUCUCGACACAUUGAUACAUUUAUUAGAUCGUACGUAUCCUUUACGAGAAGGUUCAAAAUAAAAGAAAAAAAAGAAAAAGAAAGUAAACGAGAGAUCGUAGCAUUGUAAAAAGGGACGACGUGUAAACCUAUACGUAUUUAUGUAUCGUUGAAUCUCUUGUGAUUCUUGAUAUUAGAUUGUUUUAUUUGUUGAGAGAGAAAGAGUAGAAGAGAUAAAAAAUAAUUGCACGUGAUAAUUUAAUCGAGUAAAUCUCUCGAUCUAUCAUAAUAAAAAGAAAAAAGAAAACAGAUUAUAUUUUUCUCUCAUUUACAAUUCCCAUUGAAUCCACGACUUCGAAAUAAAAUUUCGAUGAAAUGACAAAUUAUGUGUGUGUGUGUGUGUGUGUGUGUGUGUAUAUGUAGAUUGUAAUUUUGAAUUUGAUCGAAGACGAACGUUGGGACGUUUAACGAAAGAGGGUUGAAGAAUCAAUAAGAGUGACGGAGAAAUACGAGUACACAUCGAGUCGAACUAUCGUCGUGUAAUAUAGAAAGGAAAAAAAUAGAGAAAGAGAGAGGGAAAGAGGGAGAGAGGGAACGUGUGUAUGUACGUCUUAAAGGAUAUCUCAGUAAACAAAACAGUUUACAAAAAGGAAAGAACGAUAAGACACGCGACAGAAUAUUAUCUAUUUCCGACGACACAGACACGCGAUAAAGAUCGUCGUCUGUAAGUGUUCGUUGAUUAUUCCGCGUACGAUGUUGUUCAAAGUCAUUCUCGUGAUCAUAAUUUUACGAGUGAAUCUCGAUCACGGUUACAAAAUGUUCAAUGAGAUGCAAGAAAAUGUAAGAAAAUUUUGGAUCGAUGCUAUAUGUCGUACGCGAGUGACAAAGUUUGUAAAUCUUUAUGGGGUAUUAACGAACGAGUCACUUUAUCUCGAACAUUUUUUCAACGGUCUUGUACGUGGUAUAAAUGAAGAACAAUGCGAAAUUACGAUUUUUUUAAAGACAUACGCUAUUGGCGAUCCCCGGAAAGAAAUAAAACGUAACGAUAAAGUCGAUCUAUCCUUCGAUGGAAUAUCUUUGAAGGAUUCAUUAGAAACUACCGAGUUAAAAGUUGUCAACGACUUAGAUGAUAAAAUAAAAAGAAGAAAAGAAAAAGAAGGAAGUAUAGAAAGAAGGGUAAGAAACGAUUUCGACGUAUGGUCGUUGUACGUGAUACUGAUAAAGAACGAACGUUCGAUGGAGCGAAUUUUGAAUGGGGAAGAGUCAGCCAACUGGAUGUCUCGGCUACACUUCAUCGUAAUGAUAAUCCCAGAUGACGUAGAUACCUCCGUAGAUAAUAAAUACGACGUGACGAUCGAACGAACUUUAAAAAUACUUUGGUUACGACGUCAAAUUCUAAACGUUUUAGUUUUUCUACCCUUCGCGAAAAAUGGGACAAACUUGGCGUACACUUACGAUCCUUUCUUUCUAAAUAAGAACGAUGAGCGAGGUAAACUCGAAUCCAUUAACGUCGUCUCAAAAGAGGACAUAUUUCUAUGUUUGUCUCGGUUAACUCAUCGUCGUACGGACAAUAUGCACGGCUACAAAUUAAACGUAGGUCUAUUUCAACAAUUUCAAACUUUAAUGAAAAUGAGAGAUAAACCAUCGCCAGGCACGAUUUACGAAUAUUCCAGCGGAUAUAAUGGCUCGAAUGCGAUUAUCCUCGGUACGAUUGCUAAAUACAUGAACUUCACCGUGAACGAGAUUAAUCCGAGAGAUCAAAUUAAAUACGGACACGAAUUAUCGAAUGGCACUUACGUUGGAACCUUGGGUGACAUUGUCUACGGUAGAGCGGAAGUAACUUUUGCGUCUUUCUUCGUGAAAACCUAUGGCAAAAGUAAUAAUAAUUUCGAAUUUACUAUCCAGACGGGAUACGACAGCAUCUGCGUGUUCGUACCGAAAGCACGCAAAAUACCGAAGUGGCUUCGAAUACAUCACAUGUUUGAACCGUCUAUUUGGCUUUGUUCGAUAAUUUCACCAAUUAUGGUCUACCUGAUGUGCUACGUACUACUGUUAUUUACGAGAAGAAAAAUUUACAGUCACGCAAAACUCGCCUACAAAAUAUUUCAAUUCGCCAUUGGAUAUCCAACUAAAUUGCCACGUUCCUGUUUAGAAAGAAUACUUUUGUCGAGUCUCUCCAUUACGAAUGUUAUAAUGGCAGGAUUAUUCGGAGGAUUAUUGUACAAAAGUUUUUCUAACGACAUUUAUUACAAGGAUAUAAAUUUAUUAUCAGAAUUGGAUGCAUCGGAAUUACCUAUCCUAUUCUUGAAAUACAAUUUAAACGACGUUUUUGGUGACGAAUCUACGGCAUCGUUGGUGUUCAAUAAUUUAAGAAAAAAAUUUAAAUACGGUGUACAGGCGCUGCAUGACGUGACAUGUUUUAGAAAUGCAAGUGGAUUGAUUAGGAAGAAACAUUUUUAUUUGGUGGAAAGAAAGAUGGUUAAUGAAGAUCUAUCGCCAAAAUUACAUCUCGUUAAAGAAUGCCCACGUAAUUACUACUUAGCAUAUCCCAUACCGAAGAAUUCGUAUUUGCUCGAAAAGUUGAAUCUCCUGAUUGGCAGAUUAAAUCAGGCAGGCUUAUUGACAUUGUGGAAUAAUCGUACUAUCAUGAAUUUCAUUAAUCAAAGAAGAGAAUCAUCGACAAAACAGACUCAUGCGGGAGACAAAUUUAUCCCGUUCAAUUUGGAAGACAUGCAGACGUCCUUCUAUUUGCUAAUAAUCGGUCUAUUACUUUCGUCGAUUGUGUUUUGUGAUGAGAAAGGGUGGCUGACAAGACACGUGAAAAAAAAAAAAGAAAAUUUACCCGAAGGGGAUUCAUCUAAAGGAAAAAGAAAUAUUCUAAGAUUUUCUCUAAAGAAAAAGCAAAAAAAGAAAGAAAGAAAUACAAGAAAAAUUUUCAUUUCAAACGUAAUUACGAAAUCCGAGAUAUCUUGUUCGAUCUGUUAAAUUUAUCGAUCAAAUCUAUUAGAAAUAUUUCUAAACUUUUAGCUAUAUACAUAUAUCGUAGAUUCGAUAAAUUAGAUUCGAAAUAUCUAUAAACUUUAUACGAUAUAUAAGUCACUUCAAUAACGUUCAGAAACGGUGUGAAUAAUAUCACAAUUUAAUAAUAUCGUAACUUUGAAAUUAUUUGAGUAUGGCUUGCAGCGAUUUCUAUAUUUGAGUUUUUCAAUAUUGAAUUAAUAAUAUGGCGAGAGGUCAAUGUACCACGUAUACCUUGAGUUUUCCAAAGUUUUGCGAUUUCCCAGCGUCAAUGCGUAGUAGUAGUAAGUGCACGUUCGUACGGCAAACAAAACUACAAGGUAAUGGGGGUUUAUUUUAAGAAUAUCUGAAAAUACGCUCAACACUAUUUCUCUCUGGCGUUAAGCUCAGUCGAGUGUCGUUGGUCGUUGA